UUCGCUUCUCGGCCUUUUGGCUAAGAUCAAGUGUAGUAUGUUUUUAUUAUUGUGCUUGUAAUACUUUGGAACCACUGAAUCACCAGCAUUGACAUCAUGGUGGGAUUUUGCAUGCAAAGAUCAGGAAAUGAAUUCCAAACCCUUUCCAGCUAGUUGCCUGCACUCCUCUUAACUAUAGUUUA